UCAUGCACGGAAGCCAUGCUCCGCAGCAACCCGUUCGAGGCGUGCUCGGACGACCCAGCCGCCGUCGUCUCCCUGCCGGGGCUGCCGCACAGGGUGGUGGAGCUGCGGGGGCAAAUGAUGGACCCUGUGAAGCGGCCACAUGAGUGGGCAUUGUUCCAGCUCAUCCACGCCGCGGAUCGGCGGAGCUACGGCGAGCUCUUCAACAGCUUCCACGAGCUGGAGCCGGCCUACGCCGAGCACUACCGCGCCGCACUCCACCGCCGAGCCUGGCUUGUCGGCCCGGUUGCGCUCGCAAGCGGCAGCAGGAAGGACGUGGCGUCAAGAGGCGCCAUUGCUGGCACGCUCUCGCCGGAGGCCAUCGGGUGCCUGCGCUGGCUCGACAAGAAGCCGGCCAGCUCGGUGGUGUACGUCUCCUUCGGCACAAUGACCAGCUUCUCGCCGGAGCAGACGCGGGAGCUCGCCCGCGGCCUUGACCUCUCGGGCAAAAAUUUCCUGUGGGUCAUCACCAAUGGCAGUGCCGCUGCUGCAUCAGUGGAUAUAUGUAUGCCAGACGGGUUCCCAACUGCGCACCGUGGGUACGUCGUCCAUGGCUGGGCGCCGCAGGUGCUCAUCUUGAACCACCCCGCCGUUGGUGGUUUCAUGACGCACUGCGGGUAGAACUCCACGCUGGAGGCCGUGAGCGCCGGCGUGCCGAUGGUGACGUGGCCGCGGUACGCCGACCAGUUCCACAACGAGAAGCUCGUCGUGGAGGUACUCGGGGUGGGCGUCAGUGUUGGUGCCGAGGACUACGCAACAUGGAUGGAGACCCACCGGGUCAUCACCGGCCAGGUGAUCGCCGAAUCCAUCAGGAAAGUGAUGAAGGAGGAGGGCGACGGCGACAUGAUACGAAAGAAAGCUGAGGAGCUCCGCGACAAGGCGAGGGCCGCGGUGGAGAAAGGCGGGUCGUCGUACGACGAUGUUGGGCAGCUCAUGGAGGAGUUGAUCGCCCGCCGGUGCUCCGGGCGUAAGGCGGGUGGAUAA
rnacentral:rRNA from 1 species